rnacentral:lncRNA from 1 species
GAUGUGCCCUCAUUUGGGGACGUGACAGAAGUGCUCCCCUGGGUGACUCAGAUACCUUAAUGUGCUGAAGGAGGUACCUGGGGAGAGGGCUCACACCUGCCAUUGAGCAAGGGGUAGGCAGCCCCAUGGCUUUCAGGAGGCAAAGUGCUUUUAUUCUGUGGGCCUGGAGAAGAAGGAGGGAUGGCAUCACCCUGUACCAGCUGUAAUCUAGCAGCCACAAGGUGGCACGAAGGCUUUGUGCUUUCUUGAUUAAGCGUGUGCCAUCAGGUAGCAGCUGGCUGCCUGCACCCACUGCUUGCCGGUCCCCCUGGUCUGCAGAGCUGCUAGUGGGGGCUCUGAGUGCUUCCAUUCCCUAUGGGAGGGCAACUCCUUUCUGUCUUAUAGGGUCAGUGGUAUCUGAAGAGCAAACACAGUUGCAAACACAAUGCAACACCUAAGGCAAACACUCACCUGGCUGCAAAUGGUCUUGUGCAGCAGGGAUGUAAGAGCCCAAACAACCAGCAGUCAUUCCCUCUGCAGCUUUUCUAGUAUUGCUGCUCUCCACCUAAUGUAUGACAGAUAGAACAGCUCACAAAAUGUGAAAAAGCACUGACACGGGAGGCUGCAGCUGCCUUUUGGAACAGGUUGCCCAGAGCAGUGGUGGAUACCCCAUCUCUGGAGACACUCAGGGUCAGGCUAUACGGGACGCUGAGCAACCUGAUCGAGCUAUAAGUGCCCCUGUUCAUUGCAGGGGAGUUGGAUUGGAUGUCCUUUAAGGGCCCCUUCCGAUUCAAAUGAUUCUAUGAUUCUGCACCGAAACAUAGGUGAGGCUGUGGUGGGAGACACCUGGCAAAUAAAGCUAUCCUCGGUGCAUGCGUCAUACUCGGGUCAUACAUGAUGACUGUGACACCCAGCAGGUUACGGCUGGCUGGGGGUGGACAGGACAGGAUGGGAUGGGCUGGAUGGAUGGGUGCAUCUUGUACUGCUGCAGAGUCUGCUGAGCCAGGACUCGAGGCCACACAAGGACGUUAGCAGCAAGCUACAGUCUGGGGAUGCAGCACUCAGUGGCUGGGAGUCAAAGCAACUGCUAGUGCUUCUUUGCUCACAGGUCUCCGAGGAAUUGAACAGGAGCACCCGGCUGCACUAUGCUCCUUUCAUAAGAACUUCUCAAGAAAGAAACCCACACCCCCCUCACGUUUUCCCCAUUU